UUUCUUUCCUUAACUCUCUCUCUCCUCUCUACUCCUCCUCGGGCGGCGGCAGUGGCGGUGGUGCGGCUCGGCCGCCUCGGGCUCUGGCCUGGAGCUAGCGGCAGCGGGGGCGGUGACCUCGGGCGAAGAGUGGGCGGCGGCGCCACCGCCAUCUCCUCCUCACCGCCGCCACAGACGACGACGAGGAGGCGACGGGCCAGAUCCGGUGGCGGCAGGCCUCGUCCCGCUGGGAUCCGGCGGUGGUGGGCCUCGUCCCGCCCGGAUCCGGAGGCGGGAGUGGGCGGCGGGAGCGAGGGCGGCCGGCGGCGGGAGCGGGGGAUCCGGCGGCGGCGCGGCGAUGACGACCUCCCCGCGAUGGCGGCCUCCCUUCCCCGACCUCCCAUACGCGGCGGCGGCCUCCCUUCCCCGACGGCGGCGGGCACAGCGAGGACUAAUUUGUUUGUGUGAUGCCCUAUGCUAAUGUGCAGCCAUGUGCACAUUAUUUCUAUUGCAUCAUGUGCAGCCAGUUUGUAGAUCCAUUGAUAUUUUGUUCUUGUAUCAUGUUCUUAUUAAUACUGGGAUAAUUUGCAGAGAAAAAUUCUAAAUUGCAGGAUUGGGAGCUACUACUGCGUCACAACAGGAAACCUAGAGGGUGAAGGUUGCUGAGAGGGGUGGUACUGUGAUGGCAGACAGACUAUGGUUCUUGGUGCUCACAAUCUGCAAGAUGGAACUAGGCUGGAGACUUCUUGGUGCUCAAGAUUCACUUGUUUAUUUUGUUAUGUAGGAGAGGUGUAAGAACUUAGACUGUACUACUGUUUCUAUGGCAUCAUGUGUACCUAGUUGGUGGAUCGAUUCAUAGUGUUCUUCUAUCAUGUUCUUGUUAACACUGAGAAUCUGUAGCUAAUGUUCACUGAUUAUUAUGUGGUACCAAUUUGUUUGCAUGAAA